UACGGGGGGGGCAAGCGUUGUUCGGAAUUACUGGGCGUAAAGGGCUCGUAGGUGGCCAACUAAGUCAGACGUGAAAUCCCCGGGCUCAACCCGGGAACUGCGUCCGAUACUGGAAGGCUUGAAUCCGGGAGAGGGAUGCGGAAUUCCAGGUGUAGCGGUGAAAUGCGUAGAUAUCUGGAGGAACACGGUGGCGAAGGCGGCGAUCCUGGACCGGCAUUGACGCUGAGGCG
rnacentral:rRNA from 1 species